UUGCGGUACACAAGAUAUCUUCCUGGCAACGCCUCCUUGCCUCUGCCUGGAUCUCGUUUGGUUGCUGAAGGUCGUCUCCUGAUAGUGUAUAUUUUGAAACAGAAAAUAUGGCAAGCAAGCCAGUUCUCAGAAACUUGCUCCUCAGCAAGACAAAGAGAGACUUUGUCAUUGCUUUAACGGUCUCCAUUGCUGUUGCCAUGUCAUACAAGUUUGGAGUCCAGGAACAGAGGAGGCAGAAGUUUGAAAAUUUCUACAAGACCUAUGAUGUAGAAAAGGACUACGCUAGGAUGAAGAAGGCUGGUGUUUUUCAGUCUAUCAACACAAUGGUAGAGGAAGGACGUUAUGAGGGAUGAGUAAAGAAAGACUUGGACAGCCUGUGUGAGAGAUGCAAGUGAUGAGAACCUGUGCUAAGAUGCCUGCAGUCAGGAGUAGAACAAAGGAGCCCAAACACUGUUCCUGUCCUGAACAUUUUCAUGGAUGAAUUAUUGAUGUGUGAACUUGCCCUUAAUUUUUUUUUUUUUUUUUUUUUUUUUUGAGGGAAGUUAUUUUUACGUCUUAGACACUGAUGAAUGUUACUUUCACCUCAUAUGGCUAUGUUUAUCAGGUAUCACUGAUAUUGUUUCAGUGUUUAGAAAAUAAAGCCAGCUUGAGUACUUUGA